rnacentral:miRNA from 1 species
CUUCCAGUAGCACCUUAGAGACCAACUAAAUUUGUUACUGGUAUGAGCUUUCAUGUGCAUGCACACUUCUUCAGAUACAUGCACACAAAAGCUCAUACCAAUAACAAACUUAGUUGGUCUCUAAGGUGCUACUGGAAG